rnacentral:rRNA from 1 species
UACAGAGGGUGCAAGCGUUAAUCGGAAUUACUGGGCGUAAAGCGUGCGUAGUCGGUUAUCUAAGUCCCGUGUGAAAGCCCCCGGCUCAACUGGGGAACUGCACGGGAAACUGACGGACUUGAGUUCGGGAGAGGGAAGCGGAAUUCCGGGUGUAGCGGUGAAAUGCGUAGAUAUCCGGAGGAACACCGGUGGCGAAGGCGGGUCUCUGGGCCGAUACUGACGCUGGGGAGCGAAAGCGUGGGGAGCAAACAGGG